GGAGGAGCUCAGCUUCGGAACGCUCACAGCAGUGUGGUCUCCAGAAGGGAUCCCAAGCUCUGUGCCUCCCUGCACAAACCGCUGGACAGCACCAAGUCCAAAAGGCUCACGGUGCUCAUCAUCUCCACCAACACCACCCUCCUGUCUGUGGAGACCAACUGCUUCUACCAGCUGAAGCUGAGCACCCGUUUCGUGCUCUGAGCGCUUGAUGAAACCGUGCAUGGACCCCAUCAGCUACAGGAAGAGCGGUUAUGGCACCUUGGACAUCCUCCUUACUGCCUUCUGCCUGCAUAUCCACCCCACAGGCUCCAACCUGCAGGAGGUGACCCACUCGCUCCGAAGCACCCGCAUCGUUAAGGUCCUCAGGUACAACGAGGGGAUGAAGCAGCUUGGGCACUGGCACAAAAAUGGGCUAAAAAUCCAUACGGAGAGCUACGGAGAUGCUGAG
ensembl:lncRNA